rnacentral:miRNA from 1 species
UUAGAGGAGUCGAAGCAGCGUUGGCC